UACAUAAGCCGAAAGCUAUUAUCCAGAGAGGUAAGUUAUGUUGCCAUCGAGAAAGAAUGCCUGGCUGUGGUCUGUGAGCGGAACAGGCAGUGGUACAGUUUUCCCUGAUGUUCGCCGGAUCGCGUAACCGAAAGGAGUUCUAGACAGUUGACUACCAUAUACCGCUGCGUUCAGGAAACAAACUGGCCGCCAUUUAAAUAUGCUUCAAUAUUUGAAUUGGGAGUAGUACUGAGCCAAGUUGACCCUGAUGGCGGAGAACAUACCGUAGCUUACAUAAGCCGAAAGCUAUUAUCCCAAGAGGUAAGCUAUGUUGCCAUCGAAAAAGAAUAGUCUUGGAAGCCGCUUGGAGUCGGUCUACCAUCCUCUGGAAUGUAGCCGGAGCGUUCUUCGUCCCGAACGGCAUGACUAGAAAUAAGUAUAAGUAGAAUGAGGUGACAAAGGGCAACUUAGGGAUGGCUUCGUUGGCUAGAGGGAUCUGCCAGUACCCCUUACAAAGAUCCAUUGUAGUGAGGUACUGGCCCAUAGCCAUCCUGUCUAGCAACUCAUCUAUCCUAGGCAUUGAGUAUGUGGCUGUAGCGAGCCACCUGGUAACCCGACCGGUUACCUCCGCUAAUUCCCUUCCUUCAGCCGAUCAGGAAUACCAAGAGACCCAGUGCCCCCAGUAACUGGACGAGACAUAGUUCUGGAGGUACAACUCUGACAAUCUUUACUGAAACCAGCGGGUCGUACUUUUAUGCACAGACCACCCAGAGUGGGUCUCAAUUCAUUCAGUACAAAUUCCAUAGCCCCAGGCUGGUGGGGGAUGGCUUACAGCAGAUAACCAUCUCCUGCUCUGGGAGAUAGCAACUGGACAAAAGUUACACACAUUAAAACAUAGUACAGACAGGGGGGACACUUGGAGGCUCUGCGCCUUGGGAAGGGACACAUAUCAUUGGAUAGCCCCAGGUCCCCCCUGGGAUCCCUGCAAAUAGCGGGGCUUUUGGAUGUACAAAGCCUGAGAAAUCAUCGUCUUAAGUCUAGGGCUCGAGGCUCUGUACAUUCCUGAAAUGAGUUCCAUGGAGUUGCUUGGUUUAGUCUGGUGAAUUCAAACUUCGCGCCUAAACCAAGCAACAAUCAGCUGAAAGGGCGCAAACCAAAUCGCGCCAAUCAGUGCUCGGGGAGAAGAGGAGAUUCGCUGCCCAAUCCAAAGAAAGGGUGCGAAACUCAGUUGCACCAAUCUGCGCUAGGGGAGGAGUGGGGUUUCGCCACCCAAUCAGACGAAAGGGUGCGAAACCCCUUUUGGAAGGCACUCCUUCUCUGAUUGGUCGUCUGCGUCCUGCAGUGACCAAUCAGCACUCCCUCGUGUCGACCAAUCAGGAGAAUGGCGCAAACCCAGUUUGAAUAGGAGCGCCUUCUCCCACUGGUCGUCACGGACUUCCAGGCAGCCAGCGGGCACUAUGCUGCUGCGAAGCCAACUCACAGCACAAGGGUCCCUGCUGGGGCUCAUGCCUCUCCCCGGUGGCCGCCUUCACUGAGGCAGACCCCGGGAGAAGUGCUCUUUGGGCAGAUACGA
rnacentral:lncRNA from 1 species